GAUGAAGAACGCAGCGAAAUGCGAUACGUAAUGUGAAUUGCAGAUUUCAGUGAAUCAUCGAAUCUUUGAACGCACAUUGCGCCCCCUGGUAUUCCGGGGGGCAUGCCUGUCCGAGCGUCAUUACAACCCUCAAGCUCAGCUUGGUGUUGGGCCCCGCCGCCCCGGCGGGCCCUAAAGUCAGUGGCGGUGCCGUCCGGCUCCGAGCGUAGUAAUUCUUCUCGCUCUGGAGGUCCGGUCGUGUGCUCGCCAGCAACCCCCAAUUUUUUUCAGGUUGACCUCGGAUCAGGUAGGGAUACCCGCUGAACUUAAGCAUAUCAAUAAGCGGAGGA
rnacentral:misc_RNA from 1 species